ACGGAGCCAUCCUUGAAAUACCACCCUUUAACGUUUGAUGUUCUAACCCGGGUCCAUAAUCUGGAUCGGGGACCGUGUCUGGUGGGUAGUUUGACUGGGGCGGUCUCCUCCCAAAGAGUAACGGAGGAGCACGAAGGUUGGCUAAGCAUGGUCGGACAUCAUGCGGUUAGUGCAAAGGCAUAAGCCAGCUUGACUGCGAGAGUGACGGCUCGAGCAGGUACGAAAGUAGGUCUUAGUGAUCCGGUGGUUCUGAAUGGAAGGGCCAUCGCUCAACGGAUAAAAGGUACUCCGGGGAUAACAGGCUGAUACCGCCCAAGAGUUCAUAUCGACGGCGGUGUUUGGCACCUCGAUGUCGGCUCAUCACAUCCUGGGGCUGAAGUAGGUCCCAAGGGUAUGGCUGUUCGCCAUUUAAAGUGGUACGCGAGCUGGGUUUAGAACGUCGUGAGACAGUUCGGUCCCUAUCUGCCGUGGGCGCUGGAAGAUUGAGAGGGGUUGCUCCUAGUACGAGAGGACCGGAGUGAACGCACCACUGGUGUACGGGUUGUGAUGCCAAUUGCAUUGCCCGGUAGCUAAGUGCGGAAGAGAUAACCGCUGAAAGCAUCUAAGCGGGAAACUUGCCUCGAGAUGAGUCUUCCCUGAUUCCCAGAGAAUCCUGAAGGAACGUUUGAGACUAAGACGUUGAUAGGCUGGGUGUGUAAGCGCAGCGAUGCGUUGAGCUGACCAGUACUAAUGAACCGAGAGGCUUAACCUG
rnacentral:rRNA from 1 species